AGACGACGAGGUUGAUAGGUUCGAGGUGGAAGUGCGGCAACGUAUGCAGCUGACGAAUACUAAUCGGUCGAGGGCUUAACCUC
rnacentral:rRNA from 1 species